CCUACGGGUGGCUGCAGUGGGGAAUAUUGGACAAUGGGGGGAACCCUGAUCCAGCCAUGCCGCGUGUGUGAAGAAGGCCCUCGGGUUGUAAAGCACUUUCAGUGAGGAAGAACGCCUGGUGGUUAAUACCCAUCAGGAAAGACAUCACUCACAGAAGAAGCACCGGCUAACUCCGUGCCAGCAGCCGCGGUAAUACGGAGGGUGCGAGCGUUAAUCGGAAUUACUGGGCGUAAAGCGCGCGUAGGUGGCUUGAUAAGCCGGUUGUGAAAGCCCCUGGCUCAACCUGGGAACGGCAUCCGGAACUGUCAAGCUAGAGUGCAGGAGAGGAAGGUAGAAUUCCCGGUGUAGCGGUGAAAUGCGUAGAGAUCGGGAGGAAUACCAGUGGCGAAGGCGGCCUUCUGGACUGACACUGACACUGAGGUGCGAAAGCGUGGGUAGCAAACAGGAUUAGAUACCCGUGUAGUC
rnacentral:rRNA from 1 species